rnacentral:rRNA from 1 species
AUUGAACGCUGGCGGCAGGCCUAACACAUGCCAGUCGAGCGAGCGGCGGACGGGUGAGUAAUGUAUGGGGACUGCCCGAUAGAGGGGGCUAACUACUGGAAACGGUGGCUACUACCGCAUACUCUCGGAUAACCCAUAUGGGAUUAGCUAGUAGGUGGGGUAAAGGCUCUCCUAGGCGACGAUCUCUAGCUGGGCUGAGAGGAUGAUCAGCCACACUGGGACUUAGAAACGGCCCAGACGCCUACGGAGUCAGCAGGGGGGAAUAUUGCACAAUGGGCGCAAGCCUGAUGCAGACAUGCCGCGUGUAGGAAGAAGGCCUUAGGGUUGUAAAGUACGUUCAGCGGGGAGGCGUGACCCGAAGAAGAAGCACCGGCUAACUCCGUGCCAGCCGCCGCGGUAAUUC